AUUGAACGCUGGCGGCAUGCCUUACACAUGCAAGUCGAACGGUAACGCGGGGCAACCUGGCGACGAGUGGCGAACGGGUGAGUAAUAUAUCGGAACGUGCCCAAUCGUGGGGGAUAACGUAGCGAAAGUUACGCUAAUACCGCAUACGAUCUAAGGAUGAAAGCGGGGGAUCGCAAGACCUCGCGCGAAUGGAGCGGCCGAUAUCAGAUUAGGUAGUUGGUGGGGUAAAGGCUCACCAAGCCAACGAUCUGUAGCUGGUCUGAGAGGACGACCAGCCACACUGGAACUGAGACACGGUCCAGACACCUACGGGUGGCUG
rnacentral:rRNA from 1 species